CCGGCCCCGUCCCCGGCCCCGUCCCCGUUCCCAUCCCCGUGAGGGGUCCCAUCCCCGCCCCCGACCACAUCCCCGAACCCUUUCCGUCCCCAUCCUCAUCCUCAUCCUCAUCCCCGUCCCCGUCCCCGUCCUCGUCCUCGUCUCCAUCCCCGUCCCCGUCCCCAUCCCCGUCCCCGUGCCCGCUUUGCUUGCAGACGUGCCCCCGCGCGCUCUCCCGGGUAGCGCGGCUGUGCCCCCACCGUGCCCCCACCGUGCCCCCGCCCCUUCCACGCUGGAGCCCCCCCACGCUCCUGCCCCUCCCAGCCGGUGCUGGCCGCCGCACGGGACUUCCUAGGCCCCCUCCCCACAUGGCAGCCCUACCCCUGCACAAGACCGGUCCUGCACGGUGCCCCCGAGAGGGUGGACCAGAGGCCCCCGCCGCCGGGAGAGGCCUAAGGAAGCGUCGGGGGCCAGGACUGCCCCUCUACAAACGCUCCUUGCUUCCAGGGCAGGUUCUUCCUCCCCUGGGAAGUCUUCCCUGAUUGCCCCUUGAAUCCAUCCUUCCAGCUUGGGUUUCUGGGUCAGAGCAGCCGGGUUCCCCAGCCGCCCUUGCUCCGUGCUCUCCCCCGGGGCUCAGCGUGGGAGCCGGUGGGGGUCAGAAGCCAGUCAGCGGGUCGGGUGUGAUGCUGGACUAGGACCUACCCGGCUCUCGGGGGGAUGCCUCCUGUGCCCACAGGCCCUGAGGCUCCCAUGCCAGCAGGGCAGAGAGGGCGACUGAGUCAAAUCCAGGCUGACCCCAGCCCACUUGUGUUCCCCAAACGCCUGCCUGACCGGAGACGGGACAACCGAGGCACAAAGAGGUCGUGCGUCGUGAUGGAAGCCCUCGGGGCUGGGCGCAUAGCAGAGGCGGCAGUGAGCGCACCCGGCGCACUUCCUCGGGCACCGCUGGGCCGGGAGGGGGGCGGUUCCCGGGCACAGGGGCUGCGGGCAGCUAGGCAGGGGUUGGCUCCGGGCCCUGAGGCCGGGAGGCGGCCUGGGCCCCCCCAGCCACUCCCCCGGUGCCCUGUCGGAAUCUCGCUUUCCAGCCCUUAAUUACAGUGGAGGAUCAUUUCCCUCCCGUGUCUUGUGUCCGACCUGGACCCGAUGAACGGUAUCAAACCAGAGAGAGUAGUCGUAGCACAGGAAAGCUUGUAGCUCAUCACGUGUGUUUGAACGGAGACGACGUCAGGCCUGUAGACCGGUCACCGCGUCCCCAAAGAUGAGAACAGAGCGCGUCCGUCCUGGGUCCUGCAGCGUCAGCGAGGCCGUGGGGACAGCCCGUGAGUCUGGCCGCGGCCCUCCCAGUGCGGUGCUGGGCCUGAGCCCGGUCCCACCCCAUGCACCAGAGCAGGCGUUCGGUCUCACGGGAUGGCAUGAACUAAAAAUGGAUACUUGUGAAUAAAACCUUUGACAGUAAAUUCUGUGGUUUGUAC
rnacentral:lncRNA from 12 species